UACGGAGGGUGCAAGCGUUAAUCGGAAUUACUGGGCGUAAAGAGUGCGUAGGUGGUUGAAUAAGUUAUGUGUAAAAUCCCUGGGCUUAACCUGGGCAGGUCAUAUAAUACUGUUUGACUCGAGUGUGGGAGAGGGUAGUGGAAUUUCCGGUGUAGCGGUGAAAUGCGUAGAGAUCGGAAGGAACACCAGUGGCGAAGGCGGCUACCUGGCCUAACACUGACACUGAGGCACGAAAGCCAGGGGAGCAAACGGG
rnacentral:rRNA from 1 species